UAAUUUUUUAUUUUUUUUUAUUGGCAUUUUAUAGAAAUUCACAGUCUUAUUGCAGGGUAUGCGAGUUACAAUCAUGUUUACAGCAUAGAGAGUACAGUAUAGUGUGCAACUUGCAUUGUCAUUGUACAGUCAUAACUUUACAUUGGUAAGAACAUGUCAUGAGCAUACAUGGAUUAGUAAUACCUAGGUUAACAUCAAUAAACAUAAUAUCCUGACAAAUGCUAUACGUGCACGUGUUUGUGUUGUCUUCUUUACAAGUCCAGUGGACGUGUUAGUUAGAAUUUUCCUUUCGCCCUGCUGGUAUCGAUAAGUACUCGGCUGUAAAUUAACCCGCAGCUCCCUAGUGCUCAGCUACGUUUCCAAUAAAGAGUUACAGACUUGGGGCAUAACAACCUGGGUAUACUACGGGGAAAGCGGGGAGAGGUAGAGGUGGGGAGGGGGGCGGGGUUUGGUCCCUUGGUCUAGUCCAGCAUAUAGGCCUGCUCUUCGACCCCAAUAACUUGCACAAGGAGUUCACAUCCAGCUCUAAGGAGGUAAGGGUGGUGUGUGGGCACCUGUGUAGUCAGAGGUAUGGUUAUGGGAAAGGUACGUGUUCCCCUUUUCCUAAAGCGUUUGUUCUGUGGGCUGCAACGUAGAGGGUGAUUAGAGAUUCCUCUGUUUCUGUUGAUAUGUGUCCCAUUUUUCCCACGCCUCCUUCCAAAAUUUUUGUGGUGGGUUAUUGGAUCUGGCCAUUAUCUCAUAUCCCUUUAUGUUUUCAAUAUGUGUUAUGCAGCUCUGGAUGUUGGGGAUUGUCUGUUUUUGCCAGUGUUUGCUGAUAUGCAGCAGAACUGCCAAGAUAAUGUGAUAGAUUAG